UACGUAGGGUGCAAGCGUUGUCCGGAAUUAUUUGGGCGUAAAGAGCGUGUAGGCGGCCAUACAGGUCAGCUGUCGAAAACUCGAGGCUCAACCUCGAGACGUCGGUUGAAACCGUUUGGCUAGAGUCCGGAAGAGGAGAGUGGAAUUCCCGGUGAUAGCGGUGAAAUGCGCAGAUAUCAGGAGGAACACCGGUGGCGAAGGCGGAUCUCUGGCCGAUACUGACGCUGGAGGAGCGAAAGCGUGGGGAGCGAACAGG
rnacentral:rRNA from 1 species